GAUGAACGCUGGCGGCGUGCCUAAUACAUGCAAGUCGAGCGAACAGACGAGGAGCUUGCUCCUCUGAAGUUAGCGGCGGACGGGUGAGUAACACGUGGAUAACCUACCUAUAAGACUGGGAUAACUUCGGGAAACCGGAGCUAAUACCGGAUAAUAUAUUGAACCGCAUGGUUCAAUAGUGAAAGACGGUUUUGCUGUCACUUAUAGAUGGAUCCGCGCCGCAUUAGCUAGUUGGUAAGGUAACGGCUUACCAAGGCAACGAUGCGUAGCCGACCUGAGAGGGUGAUCGGCCACACUGGAACUGAGACACGGUCAAGACUCCUACGGGAGGCAGCAGUAGGGAAUCUUCCGCAAUGGGCGAAAGCCUGACGGAGCAACGCCGCGUGAGUGAUGAAGGUCUUCGGAUCGUAAAACUCUGUUAUUAGGGAAGAACAAAUGUGUAAGUAACUAUGCACGUCUUGACGGUACCUAAUCAGAAAGCCACGGCUAACUACGUG
rnacentral:rRNA from 1 species